rnacentral:rRNA from 1 species
AUUGAACGCUGGCGGCAGGCUUAACACAUGCAAGUCGAACGAGUGGCGGACGGGUGAGUAAUGCUUGGGAAACUAGCUUAUGGAGGGGGAUAACUACGGGAAACUGUAGCUAAUACCGCGUACCAUAGGAUGAGCCCAAGUGGGAUUAGGUAGUUGGUGAGGUAAAGGCUCACCAAGCCGACGAUCCCUAGCUGGUCGGAGAGGAGGACCAGCCAAACUGGGAAUGAGACCAGGCCCAUACUCCUACGGAAGGCAGCAGUGGGGAAUAUUGCGCAAUGGGGGCAACCUGACGAAGCCAUGCCGCGUGAAUGAAGAAGGCCUGCGGGUUGUAAAGUGCUUUCGGUAGCGAGGCGUUAACUACAGAAGAAGCACCGGCUAACUCCGUGCCAGCAGCCGCGGUAAUAC